GUCCAGGGAUGGGUAGCCUAGUGGACAUGGCAUCUGCCCGGUAAGCGGAACAUUGUGGGCUUGUUUCCCAUCCCUGGACA
rnacentral:tRNA from 1 species